CAGCGCCUUGCAUCCCACCCCCACCCUGAGACACACACACACACACACACACACACACGCACAUGCACACGCACACCCAUACCCCUUACGCAGAGGAAGGCCGGCAGAUAAAUAAAUGCCUGGAAACCUGCAUAUGCACACAGAGACCCCAGAACCAUAAAUGCAACCCUCCUCUCACUCACACAUGCAUUUGCCUCCAAGGGGAACCAGGGAUAUUGACUCUAAUUACUAAGCAAAGUGGCGUGUGCGAUAGAGAGGAACUAGCGAGUGAAUAGAGCGGAGAAAGCUGCAGUGACGGGAACAGGCAGGGCUGGGGGCUGCCAGGUCAGGAGGUGUGCAGGGGAGCGUUGCCCAUCCGAGACUCGGAGCAGCAAUAAGCCACAGCAACAGCCCAGGGGGACCCACAGCAAUAGGAGGGAAGGAAGAUCUCGGAAGAGGAGGCAGGCGGACCCAUGCUUGGUGUGUUGCAGGAGCCCUGGAGUCCUAGAUCCCAGAUACUGAAUGACCCACAGGCUGGGGAGAGAUCUGUCCGGGCUCAGCUUGUGGCGUUCCAGCCUGGACCCUGUCUACCUGCAUCACCGGGUAGGGGGCAGCAGAAGCCUAGGAAGGGAGGUGAAUGGUGGCGACUUAAAAACCAGCCGGGUUGCCCUGGUUCUCUGCGAGCCCUCCGUCCCCACACUCUCUAGACCAACCCAGGCCAACCCUCAAUCCCUGGACUGCACCCUCAGUCUUGUGCCUUCAGUUUUGCCUCAGGUAUUUUGCCUUCUAAACAGAAGCUCUAACCAUCCCAUCUCACUGCCUCCCAACACCAGAAGAUCGAAUUAGCACCACCCCCUUCCUUCCCUAGCUGUCGCUUAAGGAGCCAUCUCUGUAACCUUGGACAAGUCCCUUGUACUCUCUCUGCCUCAGUUUCCCCGUUUGUAAAAU
rnacentral:lncRNA from 1 species